GGCGUGGUACUUUAAGUAAAAAGGUUUGAUUUGCAUUCAAGAAUUGGGUUUGUGCCCCCAUGCUG
rnacentral:tRNA from 3 species